GCAUAAUCACAGGAAGAACAAUCGGGUUUGUUUUCCCGUGGAUCGAAUGGCUUUGGAUCUGUCUCCAGGUCCUGGCAGGGGGAUGCAGACCCUGGAGAGGAGGGUGGCUCACAGCUUGCCCGGAGCCCAGCAGGGCUUUCCCAGCCUCAGGAAUGAUAAAUGUCAGGUGUUAGAAGCAACACGACGAUGCAGAUAAAUAGAUUGAAGUUCCUAACUGGUUUUAAAUCAUUCCAAAGCCGUAGAAAUUCACUUGCUCCUCAUCUGUCAGCAAGGCAUGGCCAGCCUGGAGGUGUCUGGGCAGAGAAGCAAAGACUUUCUGUUUCUGUGACACAGCAAGAGUGACUGUGAGGGGCCAGGAACGUGAGGAUGUGUCUGUUGUGACGGCUUGGAAUGAAUUCCACCCUUUCGCUGAUUCCUGGCAUUUUGUUUUCCCUGGAUGGAGGCUCGUUUGCAUUCCUGUCAACUGCUAAACGUGGCUUUGGGCCAGUGCUUUCGGGACAAUUAAGAUCCAGAUGCGAUCGAGCACUGAUCAGAGUCUUAUCUCUAAGCAGAUAAAGAAGUCCCCAGCACUAAUCAAGCCCUUAAAAUGAACCAUGGCUAUCGUGUCCAGAUGAAGCUUUAAAUGUAAGAAAGAAAAUUCCACUGGAGAAAUGCAGCUUCUUGGAGAAAUAAAGAGCUGAUACUUGGUGCUGAUCCUUCCCACGUUUUGGCUGCCACAGGAACUGCUCCAGCAUGGUGCCAAGGGGUGGAAGGCAGUGCUGAAGCUGCACGUGCUGCUGGAGCACUGAAAACCCCCAGGCUUAGAAAAAUGAGGCUGCACAGAUGGCUGGGAGCUGAAAUCAGCUCGCCAAGAGCUCAACAGAUACACCUGGUGUCAUUUGCUGUCAUAAAAGCCAUAUUUC